rnacentral:rRNA from 1 species
CUCUCGCAUAUGUUCCUUGGAACAGGACGUCAUAGAGGGUGAGAACCCCGUUCAUGGCGAGAUGACCCAGUCCUAUGUAAAGUGCUUUCUAACAGUCGAGUUGUUUGGGAAUGCAGCUCUAAGUGGGUGGUAAAUUCCAUCUAAGGCUAAAUAUUGGCGAGAGACCGAUAGCGAACAAGUACAGUGAUGGAAAGAUGAAAAGAACUUUGAAAAGAGAGUGAAAAAGUACGUGAAAUUGUUGAAAGGGAAGGGCUUGAAGUCAGACAUGGUAUUCAGUGAUCAACUGUCUUUCGGGACUGUGCACUCGCUGUUUACUGGGCCAGCAUCGGUUUAGGCGGUGAGAUAAAUGCAAGAGAAUGUGGCUCCGCUUUCGGGUGGAGUGUUAUAGCUUUUGUUCAUAUCACC